GCCCUGCUACCCCAACUGGCACGAGGGCGCCGGCUCAAACCCGGUGUGGUGAGGGUUCGACUCCCUCGCAGGGCAC
rnacentral:tRNA from 1 species